AUGGGAGAGGUUCGCAAACUCCCUCGAUAAAAAACUAAGCAACA
rnacentral:ncRNA from 2 species